rnacentral:rRNA from 1 species
UGGGGAAUAUUGGACAAUGGGGGCAACCCUGAUCCAGCAAUGCCGCGUGUGUGAAGAAGGCCUUCGGGUUGUAAAGCACUUUCAGACGUGAGGAAAAGCCGGUUGUUAAUACCGACUGGACUUGACGUUAACGUCAGAAGAAGCACCGGCUAACUCCGUGCCAGCAGCCGCGGUAAUACGGAGGGUGCAAGCGUUAAUCGGAAUUACUGGGCGUAAAGCGCGCGUAGGCGGCUUGUUAAGUCAGAUGUGAAAUCCCCGGGCUCAACCUGGGAAUGGCAUUUGAUACUGGCUAGCUAGAAUGUGGUAGAGGUGAGUGGAAUUCCAGGUGUAGCGGUGAAAUGCGUAGAGAUCUGGAGGAACAUCAGUGGCGAAGGCGACUCACUGGGCCAUUAUUGACGCUGAGGUGCGAAAGCGUGGGUAGCAAACAGGAUUAGAUACCCUGGUAGUCCACGCCCUAAACGAUGUCAACUAGGUGUAUGGAGAAUUUAUUCUUUGUGUAUCGAAGCUAAC